CAGACACCAACUGUUGGGGUUCUAUCUCAACAUUCUCCAGAUUCAGAUGUGAGCGAUAAACCGACUUCAUCCCUCCAACAGAAACCAACUGUUGAGGUUCCAUCUCAACAUUCUCCAGAUUCAGAUGUGAGCCAUUAACUGACUUCAUCCCUCCAACAGAAACCAACUGUUGAGGUUCUAUCUCAACAUUCUCUAGAUUCAGAUGACAGCCAUAAACCGACUUCAUCCCUCCAACAGAUUGACAGCAGGACAAAUCGCUCGAAGUGGGUAUGUCUCAAGCUUCUUCCACUUGGUCCACUCCAAAGCGGGCUGCAAAGGGGAAGAAGUGGAAGCAGUUGAAUGACACAUGUUGCAUUUUGUAACUGGCAACAAAGUACCAGGUAAAAAAGAUUGUGAAGCCUGCCUCCAUAAAGAACUAGUAGCUCUACAGGACAGAGAUUGGCUUGCCAUCAAGUACUACAUCCAUAACAGAAUUAUAUUAAAAAAAGAGAAAAAAAAUGUUUUCCCACUUCUUCUGUGUUAGUUUGAGUAUGUUACCAGCAAUUAAAAAAGCAAAAUAAACAGCAAGCGUUUUGUAUUUAUUCCAGAUAAUUCUUAGCGACAAAAUCCACAAAAACAAUUCAGUUACACUUAGUCGACAAUUACAUUUUUACCCAUGUUUCUUUUAAACUCUUCUUGGUUUUAGAUUACAGUAGCAUGGGAUUGGGAUUUUUUUUUUUAAAUGACAACACAUCAACUAAACCAACUCAGGUGGUUUUGUUAAGUCUCUGAUGUCAUUAGCCUCAUAUGUCACAUGAACCUGAAAUCUUUAACACUCUGUGAUGUCAUGGUUGUCAUAUUUCACAAACUUGAAAUCUUAAACACUCUGUGACGUCAUGGUCAUCAUAUGUCACAUGAACUUGAAAUCUUAAACACUCUGUGACGUCAUGGUUGUCAUAUGUCACAUGAACCUGAAAUCUUAAACACUCUGUGACGUCAUGGUCGUCAUAUGUCACAUAAACUUGAAAUCUUAAACACUCUGGUCUUCAUUUGUCACCUAAACCUGACAAGUCCUCAUAUGUACCAUAAAAAUCAGGUUCAGAAAAAAACAAAAGAGUUGCAAAAAUCUCAAUAGACCACUGUGUGUCUAAAAUUCUGGUUCACUAACCGUCUGAUUCCCAGGCCUGCAGGACCAUUGGAAAGGCAUGUCCCCAUAUGUCACGUUUUUGUCAUAAGUCCUCAUAUGUCACCCAAACACGUAUGUGUGUGUGUGUGUGUGUGUGUGUGUGUG